UUACUAACUAAACAUAUAUGCGCAUACAUGUCAUACGUACACAUAUUUCGUACUUGUAGCCACACUGUAACUUGUACUCUCCGAAUAUGUUAUACUUUCGCAAAGCAUAUAGCGGAUGAAAGAUCGUGCAUUUUGACAGAUGCUUCGAAAUGACGAUUGUGAGAACGAUUGGGGGCAAGUCUCGAUUUGAAGGGAGUCGAUAGCAUCUCGAAUCGGCGAGAACAGUUAAGAGGCAUCUAAAAUCGGUAGUUUUUAAGUGUCGGGGUUGGGGUCGGAUUCGGGGUCGGAGCCAAGUUCCUUGCUUGCGACGUGCGCCGUAACCGUUGCGCCGUGUAACCUUCUGUCAGCCGUCGUCGGCAGGGAGCGAGUUAUUCAGUGGAUUAGAGGAAAGAUGGCUACGAACUUUGGCGUAGAGUGUCAGUACUUUUACGAGGAUGUCGUCUAUCGCGUGGACAAGAAAGGCAACAUUGUGUUCGGGAUCGUUAUGGAAAAUGACGAUCAGGAUUUGUCCGACGAGAGUUCUGACAGCGAGGAGAGUCCGAAAAGGAAAAAGGGCGAAAUUCGCGUGGUCUGGCAUCCCUCCGGUGUCGAGGAACUGGUCAGCUCGAAGAAGGUACAUUUAGCAGACAGAACGCUUAUGCCAGGGGAUGUUGUACGUCGAAUGAUCAAAGGGAAGGAUACCCAGAGAGGAUACUGUAGGGAUAUUGAGCUUACUGCUUGUGUUCAAGUGAUUGGUACUAAGCAAGUGCUUACGAAUAUUAGGAGUGAAGAUUUAGUUCCUUUGGAAGAAUUUGCAACGGACAUAGCUGUUUGCAUGGAUUCAUGGGUCGGUGGUAUAAAAAUGGCAAAUUUUAAGUUGUGGCUCACUACACCCGAUGGAUCUCGUUGUGUUAUAAAUGAAACGGAUUCUCGUGUCGUAGGGCAAUUAGAAGAGAGACGUGACAAUGAUAAUGAUUUUCCUCAUUCUUCUGAAUUUUAUCCUGGUCAAAGUUUGUGGGGACCAGUUCACUGCCUAGAAGAUGCACAAUGGAUUACAUGUACAAAAGAAAUGAAAGCAAAGAGGAAAUCUAAACCACAGAAACUAACGAAAGUAAUUGUAGAAAAGGUAGAAACGGAUUGGGUGGGUGUGCAUUGGCAGUGUAGAGCAUAUUCAAAGGAUGGCGCUUGGUCAGAUCAAGCUCAACCAAAAUUCGUAGUUGAAGGAGAGAAUUUAAAGAAAUUAAAAUUAUUGAAUGUUUUUGAACCAUCUACUGUACAAGUGGGAGAUCGAAAUUUCUAUGUAAUUAAAAGUGAUGAAAAUGUCAUUACACGAGAACAAUGGAGAAAACAACAAAGAGAUAUUUUUCAAGUUCCUAAGCAUAGCCCAAAGAAAACACGUCCAAAUAUCAGUGUAACGAAACCAGCUGAAGAUAAGAAAAAGGAGAAGGACAAAGAUAAGGUUAAUGAACACCAAACAUUAGAGGAGAAUGCUCAUAAUAACAUUAACAAUUUACAAAAUAUGACAAGCAAUAAUACUCUAAUGCCUCCAGUACAAAACCAAAAUACUGAGAGUUCAGAUGAUUGGGAUACAGAAGAUACUGGAUCACAGAGUGAUAGUGCUUCAAUAUCUAGUGGAUGUUCCAGUAUGUCAUCUAUGGGUAAAAAGAAAAAAAGCCCAGCUUUAAUGACAAAGGUACUGAAGAAGAAAAAGUUAUGCAAAGCAAAGAAAAAAGUUCCACCAGUUCCGUUAAUUCCAGGAACUAAAAUUGUUGUAGAAACAUUAUCUACGAGUACAAAAGCUAAUGUUGUAUGGCAAGAUGGUUCGGUAGAAUUUGGUAUUCCAUCUACGCAACUUUAUCCAAUUCAUCACUUAGACGAUAAAGAAUUCUUCCCAGGUGAUUUUGUAGUUGAUCAAAAGGAAGAAUCUAGAAUGUAUGGUGUAGUUCAAAGUGUUGAUCACCAAGGUAGAACAGCUAAAAUAAAGUGGUUUAAAACGUAUACUUCUAGUCAAAGUCCACAACCAACUUUGCUAGAAGAACGUGAAGUCAGUGUAUACGAUUUAAAAGAUCAUCCAGACUUUCAAUAUAGACCAGGUACAUUGGUAAUUCGAAUAGCUAAUUUUGAAGGAGAAGACUCUGGUUGUACUGCUGGUCAAGUGUUAGAUAAUUAUCCAGAAGGACGAGUUAAAGUGUGGUGGGUUGAUGGACAUGUAAGUAUGUGUUGGCCUCAAGAUUUGUAUAAAGUAGGUGAAUAUGAUAGUGAUGAAGGCGAACUCUGGGACGAUGUAUCCUCUGACGCGUCAUGGGAAACGGAAUUGGAAGACUGGUUUAUCGCUGAUACCGAUGGUACAGAACAAACAGAAUUAGAAAAUAUAAAGCCAAAACUAGCCGCACACAUUGAGAAAGCUCGUAUUGCAAUGUCUAGACUCGAAGAGAUUUUCACUCAAAAUCCCUCACUUCAGACAACCGAAGUUAUGAGAAAAUUAUUAGAAGUUUAUAAAGAUUGUCGAUACAUGGAUAAACUUAUGGGUACCUCUUUCUUCCAUGAGUGUCAUUUUCAAGGACUUUUGGAAAGAGUCCGAGAACGUGGCCGUGCAAACGUAGCACAACGUAUGGCAGAUCAAGUAACAAGAUUGUUUACACAAAAAUCCGAUGGAUCAGAAGAAAAUGUAGAAAAGAACAAUAUAGAAAAUUCCAGCAACGUACAAUCAGGAAGUAAUCCUUGUGAAAAGAUCAUUACCACUGUGACAGAUAUGACAGAACCCGUUGAUGAUAAAAACGACGAAGUUGCCAAUAAACAAAACGUAAAAGGUGAAGAAUCAAUUGAUCGUUUAUUUAUUAAUGUUAAUCCUAAUCCUGAAGAUUCUGGAUUGUAUUCUGCAGAAAAUUCGAAAAAAGAAUCUGGUUCUAGCGAGUCAAGCGGGGAAUUUCUGCUUAGCGAAGAUGUGAAUAACGUACCUGAUCGUUCAAUAGAAAAACCAGAAAUGAAUAAAACUUCCAAAACUCAGAUGCACAUAACAAGUUCUCACGUAGCUAGUUCUCAAGUUUGCGUUAAAUUGUGUACUUUAAUAAAAGCGCAACUUGUACUGGCGCAUGCAGAAGUUUCUAGACGAUUUGGAUUAUCGAAGAUGUCAUUGUCUGAUGCCGAGAAAGGAUCGUCACCUUUGAAAAAACAAAAGAAAGAAGAAGAAAAACGUAUAGAAUUAUUACAGGAACCAUCAGAAUAUUCUAUAGAAAUUCCACCGCCAAUAUACGCAGAAGGAGAAGGAUUUUCUAUAGAAGAGACAGCUCCAGAUAGUCAUAAAUUUAAAUUAACAAUGUUUCAACCUACAGAUCCUACAAACUUUUUCAGAACUGUUUCCAAGGAAUUAAAACUCUUGAAGAGUUCACUUCCACCCGGUAUAUGGGUAAAAGGAUUUGAAGAUAGAAUAGAUUUAUAUUCCGUAAUGUUUCGUGGACCUGAGAAAACACCAUACGAAGAUGGUCUUUUUCUUUUUGAUUUUCAAUUGUCUGCCGAUUAUCCUGCUGCUCCGCCACUUUGCCAUUAUAUUUCUUACUGUAAUGAUAGGUUGAAUCCGAAUCUAUACGAGGAUGGUAAAGUAUGUGUAAGUUUACUCGGAACGUGGUCUGGUCGAGGAACGGAAGUAUGGACAAGUUCUUCAACUCUGUUGCAAGUUAUAGUCUCAAUCCAAGGCCUUAUUCUUGUACCCGAACCAUAUUUUAAUGAAGCUGGUUUUGAUAAACAAAAGGGUUCUCAACAAGGAAAAGAAAAUUCAAGAAUGUACAAUGAAAUGGUCGUACUGAAAUUAGUUCAAGCACAAACUAAAUUAUUACAACAUCCACCGCCUGUAUUUAAAGAUAUUAUUAUUGAACAUUUCAAGAGGCAUGCAAAAAAAUUAUUACAACGUUUAGAGUUAUGGAUGGAAAUUUCUGAACAGCAUAAUAAUCAACAUCCGUUAUCUCCAGUAACACCUACUACUUUUAAACAGAUAUCCGAUGUCGAUAAUAAAAUUUUACCAGAAUUUCCAUUGAUACCAGCAUCUAGAGGUUUCUGUAUAACACUCCGUAAAACUUUAGCCACAUUCAAAGAAGUACUGAUCAAAGAAGGUAUUAUAGAAAGGAACAACGAUGCACAUGCUUGGGAAAAUAGCAAAGAACAAACGAAAAGUGAAGCUCAUGAAAUAAGUAAAACUGCUGACAGUGAUGCAGUGGAAUACGACAGUAAAAAAAAGAACAGUGAAGGAAGUUGCAAAUUAACUCCAAAAAAUAGUCUAUCGAAAGACCGUGUUUCAUCUUCCUCGAGUAUUUCUUCUGCGUCGCUGAGUGAAACGAAGAAAACUACAUUGGAUCAUACUAUCAGCUAGCCACAAGGUAAACCUAAGUUUAAACCUAAAAAUUUAGUUCGUAAAAAAUACACGAUUAUUCGGUAAUACAUUCAAUUAAUUUAUUAUCAAUAUAUUAAAGAUAUGUUCAAUGAUGUUCGCGGUAUCUAUUUAUUAAUAUGAACACCACUACUAACAAGCGAUAACUUUUAACAGAAACGCCGCUGUCAUUGCUCCGCAGCUAGAGAUAUUUGUUACUAUAGAGUAACCACAUAGUAACGUAAUAAAUACGAUCAUAUAGGCACGUACGAGCAAAUAAGAUCUUGUUCUUGUAUACAAUUUCGUAAAUUUCUGAGACAUAUUACACGACUUAAUUUAUGAUGUUAUAUAGAAUAUAUAAUAAUAAACAAAUAUAUAUAUUAUAUAUAAUAUAUAAUAUUAUAAUAUUUACUGAUAUAAAAUUAAUAUUUGGCCACUGGAUACCAUAUAUGCAUUUAGUUCUGUAAUUCUAUAAUGAAAAUAGAUGACGCAGUAAUAACUUGACUGAAUUAUUAAAAGAAAGAAAUAAGAAGGGUGAAACUAAUCUCGAUAUUGUAUCAUCGAGAAAAUAUUGUCACUUUAUAAAAGGUGAUAAAAAUUGAAAUGAAGAAAUAAAAUAACUGGUAGCAAUACGUUGAGCCAACAUGAAAACACUUCGCAAUAGAGUUUAAGGAACACGAUAAUAAUAGUUAUUAAUUCUAAACGCAUUUCAAUGAGUACACUUCGAGUAAUAACGCCACUGACCUUAUAAAAAUUCUCAUUAUUCUCCAAGUAUCUUAAAAAUCAUUAUGCCAUCCAAUAAUACAAUAUUUCAAAUGAAAUUACGACAUGAUUUUGAUUGCAAAUAGGUUGUAGUUUAGGCACAAGAAUUCAUAGAUGAAAAACCUAUGACAAUUAAUAUCCAAUGUUAUAGACCUUCUAAUGUAGCAUAUAAAUUAUAGAAAAUUAUUAGACAUUCUAUUAUCUAUAGUCAUUUCAAUUCUCAUUGAUUCUCGAUGAUUAUUAUUUAUAUUUAUAGAGAAAAAUUAUCUUUGUAUAUUCUUCAUUUUUGUUUUGACAUGUCAUAAGUACUUAGUAUUAUCACGAACAGUUGCGGGGUACUUAUAAUGCAACACAAGCGUUUUACAGUAUUAUUUGUAUUUAUUUUUCUUUUUUUGUUUAAUUCUACACUUCUCCGGUAUAAUGUAUAGGAUGUACUUGUUUACUACGGGAGAGUAAUGUUUCUGUAAAUUAUAAAAUGAAUGCGUACAACUAAGAGUAUGAAACUUAAUACAUGUGAAAUUGGAUUAUGCAUUCUGAAGAAGUGUAUUUGCAUGCAACGAAAUAAUCGAAGAACGAUUAACGAUAUUAAGAACAUCUGUCUUUAUUUUUUUUUUACUUGAUAUAUUAUAUGCUCGUUUUACUGUUAUGUAUUAUUACAUUUUACUUAUUUUUUCAAAUUAGAAUUUGGAAAUAUAUGUACAAUCAUUUGCAUAAUAAUAGUCAUAUUAUUUUGUUGAAAGAAUAGAAUUCCAUUAAAACUUCUUUUCAAAAACAGCUUAUUUUCUAUAACAUUUAUACAUUUCUAAGUUACAUUUAUACAUUGCAUUUUUUCUUUUAUUUAUAUCCUUAUAUUUAUAUGUUAAUAAACAAUGUGAAAAUUUGUGUUACUAGAUGAUAUCUAAUCCUAUUAAUUAUCUGUGAAUAUAAAUGCAAAUUAAGAUUGCAUUGAUCGUCUCUUAUUCUUUUAUUAUUUGUGAAAUUUUUACGGUACCGGAUAUGUACAGUAUGUGCGCGAUUUGAAAAACAUUAAUGCACAAAUUCAUGUUCCACACUCGCGCCGAAAUGUAGCCAGCUUUGGAAAAAAAAUUAACAACUUAACGUGUAUACAUCAUAUACGUUUUAUCUGCAUGUUCCUUCCAUUAUCGGACGAUUUGUUCUUUUCGUUGAAUAUGUAUCAAGUAUACAUAUAGUAGCACAGAAUUUGCGUGUUAAUGAUGGACGUAAGAUCACGUAAUACUGUACAUGUCGAAGUGUAUCUCUUCUGCGGUAAAUCAGCAGAUUUGAUAUUCUUCGACCAUAUUGCAGUGUCGUCAAGCAAUUGCCAUAAAAUGCGGCGACUUUGGAAUUCUUGCGCCAACAGGGUGCACACGACGCGGGUACAGAGAUAGAAAAGUAAAAAAAAAAAAAAAAGAGAGAGCGUGUGCUUGCGCGAAGGUUUCCUCGAAAUCAUAUGGUGCUGAAUACAUAAACAAAAAAAUGAAAGGGAAAAAAUCGCAAUUAUACCAGGGAAACUACAGUUUCUAGGAAAAAAAGAAAGGGAGAGAAAGAGAGAGAGAGAGAGAGAGAGAGAGAAUGUAUUAAAUAAAAAUGAUAGUUAAACUAGACGAAGAGGGAAAGAAACAAUACGAGUAUUGCCGUUUAAGGCAGAGAAGAGCUUGUUAUCGUGAAACGUGAUGUUUUGGAAAGCCUUGCAUAUGUGCCAGCUAUUUCUAUUUACAUUAUGAUGGAAAAGGAUAUUUCAUUUGAUACUUAAUUGAGGAUAUUUUCUCGUUGGUAUCGACCGAUCUAAUAUUACAACGAUUAUGUAAUGAGUUGUCACUUGUAACUUGGUUUCCUUGAUUUUCAUUUAAUAAAAAAUCAGCAUGUGCGAUUAAAAAAUA